rnacentral:rRNA from 1 species
AGUGAACGCUGGCGGUAGGCCUAACACAUGCAAGUCGAACGGCAGCACAGUAAGAGCUUGCUCUUACGGGUGGCGAGUGGCGGACGGUUGAGGAAUACAUCGGAAUCUACUUUUUCGUGGGGGAUAACGUAGGGAAACUUACGCUAAUACCGCAUACGACCUACGGGUGAGAGCAGGGGAUCUUCGGACCUUGCGCGAUUGAAUGAGCCGAUGUCGGAUUAGCUAGUUGGCGGGGUAAAGGCCCACCAAGGCGACGAUCCGUAGCUGGUCUGAGAGGAUGAUCAGCCACACUGGAACUGAGACACGGUCCAGACUCCUACGGGAGGCAGCAGUGGGGAAUAUUGGACAAAGGGCGCAAGCCUGAUCCAGCCAUACCGCGUGGGUGAAGAAGGCCUUCGGGUUGUAAAGCCCUUUUGUUGGGAAAGAAAAGCAGCAGGUUAAUACCCCGCUGUUCUGACGGUACCCAAAGAAUAAGCACCGGCUAACUUCGUG